rnacentral:lncRNA from 1 species
UCGGAGAUUAAAAUGGAGAAUCCCAGACAUGGCUGAAAGUCGUCGGAAAACAUGGAGAUACAAAAAGUCAGCUUCCUUGUAAUCAACCCUUCGCUUCCCUUCUCCAUUAAUUUGAUUUAUAUUAAAUGAGUCAACUCGGUAACCGGAGGCUGCUACAGAGGCUUCACCUUGUUUCUGGGUUUGAGGAAUAUGAUUUGAGGCUACGAGAAAAAGAAAGAAAAGAAAAA